AAUGAACGUUGGCGGCGUGGAUUAGGCAUGCAAGUCGAGCGCGAACCCCGCAAGGGGUGAAAGCGGCGAAAGGGAGAGUAACGCGUGGGUAUCUGCCCUCGGGACUGGGAUAGCAGCGGGAAACUGCAGGUAAUACCAGAUGACGUCCCCGGACCAAAGGUGUGAUUCCGCCUGAGGAUGAGCCCGCGUCCUAUUAGCUAGUUGGUAGGGUAAUGGCCUACCAAGGCAAUGAUGGGUACUGGGUGUGAGAGCACGACCCAGCUCACUGGGACUGAGACACUGCCCAGACACCUACGGGUGGCUGCAGUCGAGAAUCUUCGGCAAUGGGCGAAAGCCUGACCGAGCGACGCCGCGUGUGGGAUGAAGGCCUUCGGGUUGUAAACCGCUGUCAGAGGGGAGGAAUGGGCGGAGGGUAAUCUCUUCGUUUUGACGGUACCAUAUGAAUAAGAGGUUGCAAACUCUGUGCCAGCCGCCGCGGUAA
rnacentral:rRNA from 1 species